AGCUCAUUGCCACCCGUCUCCAUCUAAACCCCUGGUUCUGGCAACUUGUUUCUCAGCGUGGAAUGCAAUAAGCCUCUUUAGUAGGUGGCAAGUAUUAUUUCUUCUAAGAAAACUCAUUUGUUUUCAAAUUAAGGGGCCAUGAAAUUCUUCAUGCUCUGGGAUUUUUGUUUUCCUGAAACCUUUGACACAGAGCUUUCAUUGAGAAGAGGAAAUGAAGAAAGAAGCAUGGUUCCAAGUACCAUGAAUAGCCUCACCCGAGGGGAGCAGUUUAUGUGUGCAGAAAGCGCCCUGGGGUGAGUAAAGGAGCUGCCAUUUAGUGGACAAGAGGCCCACUGUAAACCACGGCUUUGAGGUUGGCGGCUGCCAAAUGUCAUUGAACAAAGU
rnacentral:lncRNA from 1 species